rnacentral:lncRNA from 1 species
UCAAUACAUGAUGUAGAAGUUCUAUCAUGGCAACCAAGUGUACUACAUGUCUCAACCCUAUGCUAUAUGCAUGUAAAUGUACUCCAACUACUAAGCCUAUCUAGUAGUGAGUGUUCAUUCUCAAACCGUGUCGAUUUCCAUUUCCAAUUAGGGACCUACCCAAGGUAGUCCAGCUUGUGCCGCCUAAGUGCCUGUGGUAGCCCGACAUUCCUACUCAUGGAAUGUGUCUGUCCCACUCGACCCCGUAGGCUUCUCGAUACCGCACGAGCGAACAUAAGUCGCGUAGGCUAACUCCGGAGUGCCAGCUUGUGGGGAGCGACCCUCACAAG